UGGCUCAGUUGGUAGAGCAUGGUGUGUGCAAUCCCAGGGUCGUGGGUUCGAUUCCCAC
rnacentral:tRNA from 1 species